rnacentral:rRNA from 1 species
UACGUAGGGGGCAAGCGUUGUCCGGAUUUAUUGGGCGUAAAGAGCUCGUAGGCGGUUUGGUAAGUCUGGUGUGAAAUCUCCACGCUCAACGUGGAGGGGCCACCCGAUACUGCUGUGGCUAGAGUCCGGUAGGGGGGCAUGGAAUUCCUGGUGUAGCGGUGAAAUACGCAGAUAUCAGGAGGAACACCAGUGGCGAAGGCGGUGCUCUGGGCCGGUACUGACGCUGAGGAGCGAAAGCGUGGGGAGCAAACAGG